rnacentral:misc_RNA from 1 species
GAUGAAGAACGCAGCGAAAUGCGAUAAGUAAUGUGAACUGCAGAAUUCAGUGAAUCAUCGAAUCUUUGAACGCACAUUGCGCCCCCUGGUAUUCCGGGGGGCAUGCCUGUUCGAGCGUCAUUUCACCACUCAAGCCUCGCUUGGUAUUGGGCAACGCGGUCCGCCGCGUGCCUCAAAUCGACCGGCUGGGUCUUCUGUCCCCUAAGCGUUGUGGAAACUAUUCGCUAAAGGGUGUUCGGGAGGCUACGCCGUAAAACAACCCCAUUUCUAAGGUUGACCUCGGAUCAGGUAGGGAUACCCGCUGAACUUAAGCAUAUCAAUAAGCGGAGGA